CGAAAGCCUGACGGAGCAAUACCGCGUGAGGGAGGAAGACUCUUGGGUUGUAAACCUUUUUUCUCAGGGAAGAAAAAAAAUGACGGUACCUGAGGAAUAAGCAUAGGCUAACUCAGUGCCAGCAGCCGCGGUAAUACGGAGGAUGCAAGCGUUAUCCGGAAUGAGUGGGCGUAAAGGGUCCGCAGGUGGCAUUGUAAGUCUGCUGUUAAAGAGUCACGCUCAACGUGAUCAAGGCGGUGGAAACUACAAAGCUAGAGUGUGGUCGGGGCAGAAGGAAUUCCUGGUGUAGCGGUGAAAUGCGUAGAUAUCAGGAAGAACACCGGUGGCGAAGGCGCUCUGCUGGGCCAUAACUGACGCUCAUGGACGAAAGCCAGGGGAGCG
rnacentral:rRNA from 1 species